AUUGAACGCUGGCGGCAGGCCUAACACAUGCAAGUCGAGCGGAUGAAGGGAGCUUGCUCCUGGAUUCAGCGGCGGACGGGUGAGUAAUGCCUAGGAAUCUGCCUGGUAGUGGGGGAUAACGUCCGGAAACGGGCGCUAAUACCGCAUACGUCCUGAGGGAGAAAGUGGGGGUUCUUCGGACCUCACGCUAUCAGAUGAGCCUAGGUCGGAUUAGCUAGUUGGUGGGGUAAAGGCCUACCAAGGCGACGAUCCGUAACUGGUCUGAGAGGAUGAUCAGUCACACUGGAACUGAGACACGGUCCAGACUCCUACGGGAGGCAGCAGUGGGGAAUAUUGGACAAUGGGCGAAAGCAUGAUCCAGCCAUGCCGCGUGUGUGAAGAAGGUCUUCGGAUUGUAAAGCACUUUAAGUUGGGAGGAAGGGCAGUAAGUUAAUACCUUGCUGUUUUGACGUUACAAACAGAAUAAGCACCGGCUAACUUCGUG
rnacentral:rRNA from 1 species